AUUCUGCCCAUGCGGGGAAGGAUGAGAAGCUUCGACCAAGGUUCGACUCGAGCGCCAGCGAGAGAGCGUUGCCGCAGGCAACGACCCGAAG
rnacentral:sRNA from 2 species